AUUGAUUUCCAUUUUGACCUUUAUUAUUUCCUUUCAUCUGCAUUGAGUUUUAUUUGUUCUUUUUCUAGUUUCUUACGGUGAAAGCUUGAGGUCCCCUUAGGUAGUGCUUUAGCAGCAUCCCACAAAUUCUGUUAUGUUGUGUUUGCCUUUUUAUUUUUUUCAAAAUGCUUUCUAAUUUACCUUUUUGUUUCUUCUGUGAACUUUGGAUAUUUAGAAAUUUGUUAUUUAGUUCCCAAUAUUUAACAGUUUUCCAAGUGUGUCUAUGUUACUGAUUUUUAAUUUAAUUCCAUUGUAGUCAAGACAUACUUUGUGAUUUGAAUCAUUUAAAUUUGUUGAGACUUAUUUUAUGGCUCAGUAUAUGGUCUAUCUUGGUAAGUAUUCCAUGUGCAACUGAAUGUGUAUUUCACUUUUGUUGAGUAGAGGGACAUAGAUGAGGCAAUCAGUGAAUUUAUCCCUCCUGUCCUUUUUUGAAAGUUGUUCCUCCUAAUUUUUGUUCAUUACAUUGUCAGGAUAUGUAACAUUUAUGGUAUAUCUUGUUAUCCUAAUCUCUAUUUUUGUUGUAGUCUUAAUUUUCCUCAACAGUUCUGUUGCCAUAGUUGCCCCAGUCAUCCCUUGGUUGGCUAAAGUCAGUCUUGGAAUAGUUUUCUCAGAAAUGGUUCAUGAACAGUACUUCCCUAGUUCUUGUGUGUUUGUAACCUUAAUAAUUAAAGAACAGUUUGGAUGAAUAUAAAAAUCAAUAGGGUCCAACUUCUUCUCCUUGAGUAUCUUAGUAAAUAUGGAAUUGAAUAGAUAAAAGUAACAGGCCAGUCCAAUUUUUUCCCAUUGUAAAUGACUUAAUCUUUUGCCUGGCCACCCAAAGGCUUAUUUCUUUAUUUCUGAAGUUCAAGAACUCUUAUAUUUCUCAGUGUUGAUCUUUCAGGGUCCAUUUCCCUGAGGUACUGUGGGGCAAUCAACAUAUAAGUUUAAUUUUUAUUUCAGUAUAAUUUUCUUGAAUUAGAUAUUGACACUUAGUUUGUGUUGUAUGUUCUUGAAUUGAAAUGUAUGUCUGCAAGUUUGCUUGUUUUGAACAACCAACUAAUUGGAACAAUAAAAGAGAAAAGAAAGAAUAAUGCAUAAUCUUAUUUUUCAGUGGAAUGUCACAUAAAAGCACUUUUAAAAAGCAACUUCUUCUAUAAAAUUAGUCUUGUUAGGCUUAGAAAGAAAAAUAAAGGUUGUUUACUGCAAAUCAGAGAGAGGAACCAAAAUUAAAGAUGUUGGAAAUGUUGUAAAGUUAGGUUCUUAUUUCUUUCAUUGUGUCACAGUGUGUUUCUUAUGAUAUUAUAGACUCUAGACAUUUUAUUGUUCCUUGAGCAUAUCAGACAAGUUUUAGCCUCAGGGUCUUUGUACUUCUCAGUCUUUCUACUUACAACUCUUUUUUUCUUAAUAUCCACAUAAUUUCUUAUACUCUUUCAACAAUCAAAUAGAUAUAUCGGGCAUGGUCAUCAGUCAGCCCUGUUCUUACUCUCAAAUAGUCUAACAAUAUUUUGUUAUUUAAUAUUUGAUACAUGUUUCUGUAUCUCUGUCUUGUUAAUUAACAGUCAAAGUGGGAAUGGAAUUAAAGUACUAAAAUGAAUAGUCCUGGCAAACUGAAAGCAUAGGUGGUGGUGGAUGAUAAAAUCUUCCUGUUAGUGGCACUAGAGUCCUUUGGAUUCACUUCGUCUGACAAAGGAUAACUUCUUCAUGUAUACUUCUUUCUUCUGACUUUAAUUUUACAUCUCUCUCUUCUAUCAGAAGUAAUUCUUCUGUAUUUUUAGUUUGUUUAUUAAUCUUGUAGUUAAGAUGUUAUCUCAGAAUAAGACACAUGCCUUACUUAUAGCACAUUCUACGUGAUCAGAUUACAAAUCUGUAUUGAAAAUCAGUGAGAACUGAAUCAUUAACAAUAAGAAAAAUUUAAAUAUUUUGCUUUUUAUAUGCUUUGAUAGUUGUCAGCAAAUAAAGUACAGCUGUUAUCCCAAGUAAUGGCAAAGUGAAUGUCAUGUUCAUUGAAAUUUUUUAUAAUAUUGUACCAUUUAUCAUAUACCAUGUUUAUUAAAAUAAUUCUUUUGUCUUUCUCCAUCCGUCUCAUCCCCAGUAUUUUGAUUGUAUAGCAGAAGGCUGAGAUUUGGUGAGAAAUUUGAACAUGUGGGUCUUUGUCUGUUACAGAUCUCAGCAGUUUUAAUUGAUCUUUGAGAUUCUCCCUCGCAUUUAUUGGAGACUAGCAAUCCACCAAAAACAGUUAGUGGCUAACUUAAUUGCAAUAUAGUUCUCCUGAUACUUUUCUUCUUUUAUCCUGGUCUACCUCUUGAAAAGUAUAACUUAAAAUGAAAAACAAAGAAAACACCACCUAUCCUGGAGAGGUGCCCUACUCUCUUUUAGGGAGGGCACCUAAAAGACUGCCCUAGUCCUGUAGCUGCCCUACUCUCUUUCCUAGGGCUAAAGAAUCUUGCUCUAAACUCACAAUUGAAAAUCAAGUCUUCCAGCUAUUACUUUACACUCACUUUUCCAAAAAUCACUUUAUUUCCUUGCCUUUUCUUUUUUUUUUUUCUUGUAAGUAGAACAAGAUUUUUCUUACCCCUUUCUUUAUUUAACAUGGAUACUCCUAGAGUUGUUGUCACUCCUUGGUAGGAAUAACUGCCAUUUACUUCCAGGCUGAGCAGUGCCAGGAUCACUGACAGCUCAUAGGAUGUGGAGAAGAGGCAGAAGGAAAUGGGGAGGGGGCCGCUGGUUGCAGUUGAGCGAGAGAGUGCUUAAAAACAUACGCAUAGUUUCUCUGAUUUAACCAUUAGUCUGCUCUGUUGAAGAAUAAAAACUGUUUUAUCUCUCAUAGAAAUAUUUUCCAAUUGAAGAAUCAGCUAUGAACUAAAGAAUAUAUUAUGCUUCAUUAUAAGAGUCAUUUUGUUUCAGACUAUGAACCUGAUAUCUUAAAGCCUUCUGAGAUCUCUGGUGGUUUUAUGAAGUCAGCAGGGGCUGAGGGUGUCUGAAGGAGAAAAAAAUAUUUUGUUUUCUAUUUCUUCUCAAAUUGAGAUAAUGGGAGAAGUAUCCAACAAGACCUUGCCUUCAAGGCUGGAGCACAGAACAAUUCACAGAGGUCGUCUUGCUGCACCGGGCUUUGAAGAACUGUUACAGUAGAUUACGGUUAUAUCAACAAGUAGACUUUUAGUAAUUAAAUUUUAGGUAAUUACAGUGUAGCUUACAUAAAACGACUUUACUAGUUCUCUUCUUAAUGGUAGCAUUCUUUUAGUUUUUGAAAUUUAAGAAUUUUUGCAUUUCUUACUUUUCACUUUGCCAGUUUAAUGUUUGAAAAAAAAGUACCUUUGACGUUAUUUCAUUGUUAGAACUAUAUGUCUUUUCUGCUGAUUUUUUGCUACUUUAAAAAAAUAAGAUUAAAACUAUUUGAGUUAGUCUAACUCAAAAGUUACACUGAAUUAACCUGAAGAUACUGAUUAUAUUUGCUGAAAUCGAAAGCAUCUAAUUUUAAUUCAUAGCCAUUUGAUGUUGCCAUAUUUUAAAAAUCUGACAGCAUAAGAAAGCAAGCUGUCAAAGUGGAGCACAGAACAAUUUACAGUCAAAGUUACCCACUUAAAAGCUAAAUGCCAAUAAUUGGCAGUGAUCAGCCUACGUUCAUACACAGAAGCUCAGCAACAUUGAUUUUAUUUCUUAGUUGCAAUGGCUCAACAUUAAAGCAAGCUAUGGCUUGAUUUUUAGGUUGCAAUUUAGCUUGUGGUUAAAACCACUCAUUGAAAGAGGUUAGAGUUGAAACCACUGCAGGAGGUGAAUCACAGUAAAUGCCACACUUCUGAUUUCACAUUUUUUUCUGGCAUAAGAGAGUUUUGGUAUUCUAUCCUGAAUUUUUUCCAUCUCUUUUAUUUUGCUGACAGUAAUGGAUUUUGGCAAUAUGUGGAUGACUCUUUGAACAUGCCAUGCUCCACAAAGUGAUAAGGCCUUUGCAAAUAUUUCAAAGACCUCUUGGUGAAUGCUUCAGCCAUUUUAUUACAAUGGAACAGUUUUCUUCCAUAAGGAAAGCAGCAUUAUGAAGGAGAUAAAGGGAUGGUCUUAUUUAUUUCCAGUUGUUUUUUAAGGUUGACUGCCUCUUUUAUCUUCAACUUCAUGCAGCAAAUUAAAAUUUUAUCAGAAGAUUUUGAAGUUCUUUCUAGUCAGACAUUAUCACUGCUUGUAGGAAAAUUUCUACUGUUAGCAGCUUUAGCUGUAGCUAUAGUGGCCAUGGGCAUGGAAUAGGCAAGGGAUAAAAUACUGAUACCUUCCCUCCCUCUCCAUUUUGAAAGGAUAUAAGUAAGUGGGCACUGUCUUUCACUUUUGUUGGUAAUGAAAUUGAUAUAGCCUUGUGGUACUAUCUCUCAAGAUUUAAAAUAUCUAUAUUUUCUGAUACAUCAGAAAUAUUUUCACAUGUACACAAAGAUAUACAUAAAAGGAUGUUCAUUAUAGGAUUCCUUUCUAAAUGUUAGAAACAAAUGCCGUCAAUUGGGGAAUGAUUAAAUAGAUAAUGGUACAUACGUAUCAUAGAAUACUUUAUAAUGGCUAAAGAAAAUGAAGUAUAUCUGUAUUUACGAGAAAAUAUUUCUAUGACCUGUUAUAUGGGGGAAAGAAUAUAGAAUGAUCCCAUUUAUAUAAAAACAAACAAACAUUUAAAAAUCCCUGUAUUUGUAUAUGUGUAAGUAAAUACUUAGAGAAAGCUCUCAGUAGGUACAUAUUAGACUACAAACUAUGGUUACCUGGGGAAGAGAAUAAGAUGCAUUCAUUUAUUUUGUAAUUAAAAAAUUGUUUGGUGGGGUGAGAGGAAUGCAGAGAGUUGAAAUAGUUAUUUUUUUCUUUCUGGCUGAUAUCUAAAAAUGAGCUGCUUAGAAGUUGGAUGUCCCAGGAAAAAUGAUUGUAAAUAUUUGUAGAAGAGUUAAUUUGUAUUCAGAUAGACCAGGCAAAUCUGACGUAUAUUUUAAAUCAUGUCCAGUAAAG